UGUAUUUGUUUGUUUUUUUAUUUUUCUUUUUUGUUUUCUUUCUUUUUUUUUUUUUCUUUUUUCCCCCCCCCCUGUUGUUGUUGUUUU
rnacentral:ribozyme from 1 species